rnacentral:rRNA from 1 species
CCUACGGGUGGCAGCAGUGGGGAAUAUUGCACAAUGGGGGAAACCCUGAUGCAGCGACGCCGCGUGAGUGAAGAAGUAUUUCGGUAUGUAAAGCUCUAUCAGCAGGGAAGAAAAUGACGGUACCUGAUCAAGAAGCCCCGGCUAACAACGUGCCAGCAGCCGCGGUAAUACGUAGGGGGCAAGCGUUAUCCGGAUUGACUGGGGGUAAAGGGAGCGUAGAUGGCAGCACAAGUCUGGAGUGAAAUGCCGGGGCUUAACCCCGGAACUGCUUUGGAAACUGUGCAGCUGGAGUGCAGGAGAGGUAAGUGGAAUUCCUGGUGUAGCGGUGAAAUGCGUAGAUAUUAGGAGGAACACCAGUGGCGAAGGCGGCUUACUGGACUGUAACUGACGUUGAGGCUCGAAAGCGUGGGGAGCAAACAGGAUUAGAUACCCCUGUAGUC